CGUUACACUGUUUUCCGUCUAACAUAACGUAAUUACAGGCGCCAUCAUAGGAGGUGCGGUAGCGGCUGGGGUCGUCAUCCUCAUCACAGCAGUCGUUACAUUCGUCGUCUACGUUAUAAGACGACGCUCCAGUGAUAGUCAUGUUGAGCGAUCGGCUCCCCAGUUUGAGCUCGCAGAGACAUACAGCGAGGACACCCAAGGGGCUCUUCUGUCUGACGAUGGCGAGUAUGUGGACACUUUACCUUCCAAGGUAACCUUGGAACAGCCUGACACCGGCAGUGUCGUCUACUACAACAUCCCAGUAGACUGUUCAGUGAGCUUGCACCAAUCUCGUAACAGUUGUGACUACGAGACCAUCUCACAGGCGUCAUCUAGCGGAGAUUAUCAAGAACUGCAGCCAGCUGUGUAUCAGAGCUUGCAGAAAUUCUGAAGUCCUCUUAUACAAUUCCUGUCAACAGCAUAAUGUCCG